GGGGCAGUGUUACCAGGGGAAAUGAAAACGUGAUGUGUCUUCGGAUGUGGUGGGUGCAUUCACGACGGUGUGUUGCAUUCUAAAUUUCUGGGAGGAUUGACAGAUAGAGACCUUCAGGGCGCCCAGUGCAGUGACUCAAACCAGCUAGGAGACGCCAAUGCGAGCCCCGGGAAGAGUUUUCUUUUUCUCUGUAAGGAGAUAGAGUCCCUGGAAUGGGUUUGUCCCGAGAUAGGGAUGGUGGCUCCGUAGAGCAGUGCGGCUCUUGCGCUGUCUUGUGCACUCGUGUCAGUCCUUGAAAAUCCGAGUGAGGGAGUGUGAUUUCUGUGCUGUACCGUACCCACAUCCGCAGCAGGUCUCCAAGGCGAACAGCCUUU
rnacentral:rRNA from 1 species